rnacentral:rRNA from 1 species
AGAGCUGCCYCGCUSAGAAUCAACGCUGGCGGCGUGCCUCAGAAAARSGGRWRGRACGCGAAAGCUCCCUUCGGGGAGCAAGUAGAGUGGCGCACGGGUGAGUAACACGUAGGUAAUCUACCUUUGGAUGGGGAAUAACAACCGGAAACGGUUGCUAAUACCGCAUAAUGCAGCGGCACCUAAUGGUGACAGUUGUUAAAGCGGGGGAUCGCAAGACCUCGCGUCUGAAGAGGAGCCUGCGGCGGAUUAGCUAGUUGGUAAGGUAACGGCUUACCAAGGCGAUGAUCCGUAGCCGGCCUGAGAGGGCGGUCGGCCACACUGACACUGACAUACGGGUCAGACUCCUACGGGAGGCAGCAGUCGGGAAUUUUGGGCAAUGGGCGAAAGCCUGACCCAGCAACGCCGCGUGAAGGAUGAAAUCCCUCGGGAUGUAAACUUCGCAAGAACGGGAAGAAUAAGUAAGAGCUAACAUCUCUUACGAUGACGGUACUGUUUGUAAGCUCCGGCUAACUCCGUGCCAGCAGCCGCGGUAAUACGGGGGGAGCAAGCGUUGUUCGGAUUUACUGGGCGUAAAGGGCGCGUAGGCGGCCACCGCAAGUCGACUGUGAAAUCUCUGGGCUUAACCCAGAACGGUCAGCCGAUACUGCGGGGCUAGAGUGCGGAAGGGGCAACUGGAAUUCUCGGUGUAGCGGUGAAAUGCGUAGAUAUCGAGAGGAACACCUGCGGCGAAGGCGGGUUGCUGGGCCGACACUGACGCUGAGGCGCGAAAGCUAGGGGAGCGAACGGGAUUAGAUACCCCGGUAGUCCUAGCCUUAAACGAUGAAUGCUUGGUGUCUGGGGUUUUAUAGUCCCCGGGUGCCGUCGCUAACGCUUUAAGCAUUCCGCCUGGGGAGUACGGUCGCAAGACUGAAACUCAAAGGAAUUGACGGGGACCCGCACAAGCGGUGGAGCAUGUGGUUUAAUUCGACGCAACGCGAAGAACCUUUACCUGGGCUAGAAUGCCUCUGACCCGGCGUAGRAGAAUACGCCUUCCUUGGGUUAAAACCAGGCAGAGUGCAGGUGCUUGCAUGUCUGUCGUCAAGCUUCGRKKGUUYCGUGGAGCA